CCCUUAGAUGUCCUGGGCCGCACGCGCGCUACACUGAGUGUCUGAGAUACGAGUCUGCCUGGUCCGGCAAGGUCUAGGUAAUCGCUAAAAGACACAUCAUGCUUGGGAUAGAUUAUUGCAAAUAUUAAUCUUGAACGAGGAAUUCCUAGUAAGCGCAAGUCAACAGCUUGCGUUGAUUACGUCCCUGCCCUUUGUACACACCGCCCGUCGCUACUACUGAUUGGAUGUUUAAGCGAGGUUCUCGAACUGCUAGCGACUUAGCUUCGGUGAGGUCGCAGUGUGGGAAGUGAACCUAGCCUUGGUGUCUAGAGGAAGUAAAAGUCGUAACA
rnacentral:rRNA from 1 species